GUGCCAGCAGCCGCGGUAAGACGGGGGGUUCAAGCGUUGUUCGGAAUCAUUGGGCGUAAAGCGCGUGCAGGUGGCUUUGCAAGUCAGAUGUGAAAGCCCAGGGCUUAACCCUGGAAGUGCAUUUGAAACUGCUUAGCUUGAGUAUGGAAGAGGGUCGUGGAAUUCCUGGUGUAGUGGUGAAAUACGUAGAUAUCAGGAGGAACACCGGUGGCGAAGGCGGCGACCUGGUCCAAUACUGACACUCAUACGCGAAAGCGUGGGGAUCAAACAGGAUUAGAUACCCUCGUAGUCC
rnacentral:rRNA from 1 species